rnacentral:lncRNA from 1 species
ACCAUCACAGAAUCAUAAAUUCAGAACUGGAAGAGUCUCAUUUUCUAGAUGAUGAAACAGGCUCAAAGGGGUUCACUGAGUUGUCUAAGGAUUCAUAAGGAGCAAAUGUCAGAGGAAGCGUCAAGAACAGGUCAAUGCCAGAUGCACUUUUGACUCAUGGACCAGACUCAGCUUGAUGACUAAACCUAUCCAGUACCAAAAAGGACUUGCCCCAUUCCCGACCGUCUUUCUAUAGUCUACUACUUCUCGUGGACCUGAAGCUCUCUCACGAUUGGGCAUUGAGGCUGUUUCAGGAGUGAUUUUUCUAAUUCGUCACAUGUUCCUGGUUUCUCAAGGACUGGCUUGUCAAAUGUCAUUGCUGAGACUAUGAGUGU